rnacentral:rRNA from 1 species
AUUGAACGCUGGCGGCAGGCUUAACACAUGCAAGUCGAACGAGUGGCGGACGGGUGAGUAAUGUUUGGGAAUCUGGCUUAUGGAGGGGGAUAACUACUGGAAACUGUAGCUAAUACCGCGUACCAUAGGAUGAGCCCAUGUGGGAUUAGGUAGUUGGUGGGGUAAAGGCUCACCAAGCCGACGAUCGCUAGCUGGUCUGAGAGGAUGACCAGCCACACUGGGACUGAGACACGGCCCAGACUCCUACGGGAGGCAGCAGUGGGGAAUUUGUGGCAAUGGGGGAAACCUGACGCAGCCAUGCCGCGUGAAUGAAGAAGGCCUUCGGGUUGUAAAGUUCUUUCGGCAGAGAGGCGUUAACUACAGAAGAAGCACCGGCUAACUCCGUGCCAGCCGCCGCGGUAAUUC